CACGUAGGGCGCAAGCGUUGUCCGGAAUUAUUGGGCGUAAAGAGCUCGUAGGUGGUUUGUUGCGUCCGCUGUGAAAACUCGGGGCUUAACCCCGAGCCUGCAGUGGAUACGGGCAGACUAGAGGUAGGUAGGGGAGAAUGGAAUUCCCGGUGUAGCGGUGAAAUGCGCAGAUAUCGGGAGGAACACCGGUGGCGAAGGCGGUUCUCUGGGCCUUACCUGACGCUGAGGAGCGAAAGCGUGGGGAGCGAACAGG
rnacentral:rRNA from 1 species